GUAAAGGCCCACCAAAGCGACGAUCGGUAGCCGGGUUGAGAGACUGAACGGCCACAUUGGGACUGAGACACGGCCCAGACUCCUACGGGAGGCAGCAGUGGGGGAUAUUGCACAAUGGAGGAAACUCUGAUGCAGCAAUGCCGCGUGAGGGAAGACGGUCUUCGGAUUGUAAACCUCUGUCCUUGGUGAAGAUAAUGACGGUAGCCAAGGAGGAAGCUCCGGCUAACUACGUGCCAGCAGCCGCGGUAAUACGUAGGGAGCAAGCGUUGUCCGGAUUUACUGGGUGUAAAGGGUGCGUAGGCGGCUCUUUAAGUCGGGCGUGAAAGCUGUGGGCUUAACCCACAAAUUGCGUUCGAAACUGGAGGGCUUGAGUGAAGUAGAGGUAGGCGGAAUUCCCGGUGUAGCGGUGAAAUGCGUAGAGAUCGGGAGGAACACCAGUGGCGA
rnacentral:rRNA from 1 species